UAUGUGAUCGUCUCUCGCAUAUCAAUAAGCGGAGGAAAAGAAACUAACAAGGAUUCCCCUAGUAACGGCGAGUGAAGCGGGAAGAGCUCAAAUUUGAAAUCUUAAAGGGUUUCCCUUUACGAAUUGUAGUUUAAAGAAGUGUUUUCUGUUGAGGUUUUGGUAAAAGUUCUUUGGAAUAGGACAUCAUAGAGGGUGAGAAUCCCGUAUUUGACCUUUACUUUCAACUUUGUGAUACACUUUCAAAGAGUCGGAUUGUUUGGGAAUGCAGUCCAAAAUGGGUGGUAAAUUUCAUCUAAAGCUAAAUAUUGGCGAGAGACCGAUAGCGAACAAGUACCGUGAGGGAAAGAUGAAAAGAACUUUGAAAAGAGAGUUAAACAGUACGUGAAAUUGUCAAAAGGGAAGCGUUUGACACCAGUGUUGUUUUUCUGAAAAUCAAUUAAAGAACUGUUUAUGCUAAGUUGUUUAGACUUUAUCAGCUAUCUGCUUAGUUUUGAGCUUUUCUUUAAUGCACUUUUCAGUUAACAAGUCAACAUCAAUUUCUUUUGCUGUAAAAAAGCUUGAGGAAGGUGGCUUGAGAUUCGUCUUAAGUGUUUAUAGCCUCUUGCCUAUGCAGUCGGAGAGAUUGAGGUCUGCAGCGUAGAUCCUUCGGGGCUAAAUGCAUUUGUGCUAAGUUAUAGCAUUUUAUAGACAACUUGUUGACUAUGAUUUGUCUUGUAGCUUACUCGCUUAUGUUAUUUUACCUACGCUUAGGAUGUUGAGUCGUAGAGCACGCAG
rnacentral:rRNA from 1 species